rnacentral:lncRNA from 1 species
AUCCUUCCUGAAUUUUUAACAAGAGUCCUUAUAGGGCAGAGAGAGAAGGCAAACAACCACAGACCUGUAAAGGAAGAUGUGAAAAGCAGUGCCCUUCCUUCCCGGCUGUUAAAAACGAGUCAUUUGGCCUCAGCCUUCGGGGAAGAUAUUAGCUUUCUAGAUCACAUCUUAUCAUCCAGUAAUUGUAUUAGGUUUCCUGGGGACCUUCCUACCUCAUGACCUUCUAGCUCCGUGAUUGAGCUGAUCAGAUUGAAACGAUGAGGAAGCAUUCAUUUCCACCUCAUUGAUUUCGGCUCUCUAUUGUCUGCCUGCGUUUUCUCUGACCUCGCCCUCGUUCAUCAACAAGCUGCUUGUUCCUGAGAAAAUUCCCGAUGCUCUCCAGCUGCUUUCUGGAUGCAAGUGCGUUUUGACGCACGAAGUCUGAACCCGGGUGGCUGAGCACGGGAGAGAAGGAAAAUGAUGCCGGUUGCUGGAUAAUUGAGGGCCUUACUUUCCUUCCUCUUGCGCCUUUUUCUUUUAUUUAUAAGCAUCAGUCGUUCAAGAGGGCAAAACACUCUCUGCGUCUGAUCUGAGCGGCAUAGCUGGCGUAACGCUAAGUUCCUGUAUCUCUUUGGUGACAGAGAACUUGGAAACUGGCAUAGGGAAGAAUCCAGGAUUCAGGACUGCAAGGAGAGCUGAGGAACCUGGGCUCUGUGUCCAACUCCAUGAUGGUGUUGACUUCCCUUUCCCAAGAAGAUCCAGCUGUAGAGAUGAGCAGUUUACUGGGGGAUUAUGCAAUUAACUGAGAGAUGAAAACCGUGCAGAGCGAAGCAGCACAGAGAGGCCAUCGGCACAGAAACAUCCAGGACCACUCCCGGGAAGGCUCCAUUCGUGAAGCCAGGAGAGGUGGAAAUUGGUCACUGUUGAUGAAGUAGGGACGUGAGGGUGUACAGAUGGUGCGACGUCCUGUGGGGCCAGACCUAGCCCCAGGAGGCAAGUAGCCUUCACCAUUAACGUGGGCAUCCGUGUUCUUCAUUCCUGCGCCCACAUCUGCUUCCGUAAAUGCCAGCUACAGUAUCAGGAUGAGUUUCGGCUCCACAGGACACGAAAACCUACCUAAACGUGAACGGGUUUUGGGGCGCCUGGGUGGCUCAGUCGGUUAAGGGUCCGACUUCGGCUCAGGUCACGAUCUCACAGUUCGUGAGUUCGAGCCCCGAGUCAGGCUCUGUGCUGACCUCUCAGAGCCUGGAGCCUGUUUCAGAUUCUGUGUCUCCCUCUCUCUGACCCUCCCUCGUUCAUGCUCUGUCUCUCU